CCCUCCGCCCGCCAUACGCGGUGCGGGGUCCCUCCGGUCUGUUCCCCGCCCACCACCGUGCUACCUCCGACGUCGCUGCGGCCGCCCACGCGCAGCCCUUGCGGUUCACAGUCCCCGUGAGGCUGGGCCCCGCCCCUGGCCUCUCUUCCACGCCCCUUUCCCGUCGUUUUCCUGCCUGAAUCCCUUCCCUGGCGUCUCGGGCCUCCCGCGCCUAGUGACCCUCCACCACGGGCUGUGCGGCUCCCGAAACACAGCGCCGGCGGCCCAGCUCCAGGAGGAGGCCCACUGAGCCCGCCGGUCUCCUGCUGGCCCCUCCGGCCGACCGCCGCCCCCAACCGCCUCCCCGCGGUCUCGGGCUGGGCCCUCUGCUACCCAGGCCGCCCCUGCGAGGCGCCUCUUCCCCAGAGCGCGGUGCGGGAGGCGAGCCGGGACGCCUGGGACGCCCGGACUCGAGCCCUGAUUCCGCCGACGGUGAAUGUGCUCUCCCGUGAGGCCGGCGCCCGGUGCCUCCGCGCCCCUGGGCUCGGGGGCGAAGGCGCUCGGGAGAGGCCGGGCCGGAGCGGCGGGGACAGAAGCGGAACGAGUGCGGAGGCCGGGGGGCUGCGGGAGAGCAGGCGCCCGGAGAGGACGGGCAAGCCCGUGAAGGAGCAGGCGGCGGAGCCGGGGAGGCUUAGAGGCCAGCGGGACCUCCGGGUGGAGGAUUGGCUUCUAAGAAAGACUCAUGUUCCCUGAGGCCAAAGUCCGGAAAAAGAGGAGGAGGACGGCAGAGAAGGAGCCGGGAAUGGCUGUUCCUCAGAUGACGAGACCCUAGGCACAGCGUGUAAAAACCGUACCAACUCACAUCUCCCUGUGUUGCAGCAUUAGAAGCCAAACCUGUGUUUUCUGGCUUCAAAGACAAGCCUCUUAAUCACGCUGCUACAUACAGAAAGGCAGGUAAACUGAUGGCCACAGUGACUUACAAAAGGCAAUCCAGCUCGUCUAAGCAGCAGAAUGGAGUCUUGGAACCAGUCAUUCCAAUUCCGGUCUCCUUUUUGUGUUCUGAUGUAUUUGGCAGUACAUGUUUUGGUGUCUGUCCUAAUCCUCUAUCUGCUGAAGAGGAAAAUGAGGAUCCUCUGAAUGGCAAUCGAUGUGCUAUUGGAUGCAUUUCCAUGGGUCAGAAAUCCAAGCACAGCUUAUCUGGACCCUCUGCCUCAGGGUCUCUCACAGGCUGAAAACAAGUCACAAAGAGAAAAAACAAGUCCGGUAAGGUGUCCAAGCUGGGCCUGAAGACACUCCCUGCCAUGUGCUGUUCCCUUGCUAAGAAUAUUCCUUCUUGUCUGUUGAACGCGAUCCUAAAAGAGUCCAGUCCAGUGCUCACCCUGCCUGAGCCAGCUGAGCUGCCAUAACAGAAUGCCACCGACUGGGUGGCCUGAGCAGACAUUCUCACAGUUCUGGGGACUGGGAGUCCGAGGGCAAGGCGCCAGCAGCUUCCAUUCUUGGUAAGGUCCUCUUCCCGGCACGCAGGCGGCCACCUUCUCUGCAUGUCCUCACGCGGGAUGGGGAGGAAGCUUGGUGCCUCUUCUUGUAAGGGUGCUCAUCCCGCCACCGGGGCCCAGCCCCGUGACGCAGCUGAAGUCAUCACCUCCCAAGGCCCCAGCUCCAAACAGCAUCUCACUGGGGAUUAGGGUUUCCACAUAUGGGUUCUGGGGGAGGGGGAACGCAAGCAUUCAGUCUGCAACAACCCCUUUAAGAAGGCUUCCCUGACCCCUAGGAAUAUAAGCGACCACAGGCGCUAUGCUUCUGUGACCUUUUAGUCUGUACGGCAUGUUGUGAAUGUGACUCUCAUUAAAUCCUGAGCACCUUGGUGGUAGACUGGGGGUCUUCCUCGCUGUCCCCUCAGUGGGCAUGGGGCAAUGAAGGAACCCGCUGGUGGUCAGUAGACACCCGGGAAGAGCACUGCAGGGAGCAGGGUGGCCCUUGUCUAACACCCCGGCUGUUCCUCACUCACCUGGAUCUUUCCUUUCAGCUCAUGUAAAUGUGCAACCUCUGGCGGCUUGACUCUCAGCAGGAAUGUUUGCAGCACCUGGACGUCCUGUAGUUGGUGAGAAGUUCCAACAUGUCCACUCAGAAAUUAGAAACCUGACCACCCGACUCCUCAGCGUGUUUAGUGUGUUAAUGGUCUUUGAACCACGGUCUGAAUUGGAUACAUUCGUCUUCAAAAGAACUUAAAAUUCCAGCAUGAAAGUCCGGGAGGAAAACUGUCCUCGCAUUCAGAAGGCGAUGUCCCAAAGUGCGUUUUCUGUCUGGUUAGGAUCGCUUCCUUGCUGUUCGGACACCCAGGCUGAUGCUUUUUCACCCCUCCACCCCUGCUCUAAAAGGAGCUGCUUCAUUGCCCAGGUUCUCUGUGAUCUUUAAGGCACAAACUCACAUUAUGAUCAUAUUUUAUAUGCAAUCUCCAAUGUGUUUGAGUGUAGUGGAGACAUAUCUUUCCUAAAGCUUUAAAAUAAAAUUUAAUGUCUUAGAAAGUU